GCUGAGCCCAGUAACAUGGGCUUGUAACCCAAGUGGGGGAAACAAUGUGAUGAAAUGUUGGGCUGCAUCAUAUGG
rnacentral:SRP_RNA from 1 species